rnacentral:rRNA from 1 species
ACGGGUGAGUAAUACAUCGGAACGUGCCCUGUAGUGGGGGAUAACUAGUCGAAAGAUUAGCUAAUACCGCAUACGACCUGAGGGUGAAAGUGGGGGACCGCAAGGCCUCAUGCUAUAGGAGCGGCCGAUGUCUGAUUAGCUAGUUGGUGAGGUAAAGGCUCACCAAGGCGACGAUCAGUAGCUGGUCUGAGAGGACGAUCAGCCACACUGGGACUGAGACACGGCCCAGACUCCUACGGGAGGCAGCAGUGGGGAAUUUUGGACAAUGGGGGCAACCCUGAUCCAGCAAUGCCGCGUGUGUGAAGAAGGCCUUCGGGUUGUAAAGCACUUUUGUCCGGAAAGAAAUCGCACUUACUAAUAUUAGGUGUGGAUGACGGUACCGGAAGAAUAAGGACCGGCUAACUACGUGCCAGCAGCCGCGGUAAUACGUAGGGUCCAAGCGUUAAUCGGAAUUACUGGGCGUAAGGCGUGCGCAGGCGGUUGUGCAAGACCGAUGUGAAAUCCCCGGGCUUAACCUGGGAAUUGCAUUGGUGACUGCACGGCUAGAGUGUGUCAGAGGGGGGUAGAAUUCCACGU